GAUGAACGCUGGCGGCGUGCCUAAUACAUGCAAGUCGAGCGAACAGAUAAGGAGCUUGCUCCUUUGACGUUAGCGGCGGACGGGUGAGUAACACGUGGGUAACCUAUCUAUAAGACUGGAAUAACUCCGGGAAACCGGGGCUAAUGCCGGAUAACAUGUUGAACCGCAUGGUUCUACAGUGAAAGGCGGCUUUGCUGUCACUUAUAGAUGGACCCGCGCCGUAUUAGCUAGUUGGUGAGGUAACGGCUCACCAAGGCAACGAUACGUAGCCGACCUGAGAGGGUGAUCGGCCACACUGGAACUGAGACACGGUCCAGACUCCUACGGGAGGCAGCAGUAGGGAAUCUUCCGCAAUGGGCGAAAGCCUGACGGAGCAACGCCGCGUGAGUGAUGAAGGUCUUCGGAUCGUAAAACUCUGUUAUUAGGGAAGAAUAAAUGCGUAAGUAACUGUGCGCGUCUUGACGGUACCUAAUCAGAAAGCCACGGCUAACUACGUG
rnacentral:rRNA from 1 species